UGUGUCCUAUGGGGGGCAGCAGUAGGGAAUCUUCCACAAUGGACGAAAGUCUGAUGGAGCAACGCCGCGUGAGUGAAGAAGGGUUUUCGGCUCGUAAAGCUCUGUUGGUAGUGAAGAAAGAUAGAGGUAGUAACUGGCCUUUAUUUGACGGUAAUUACUUAGAAAGUCACGGCUAACCACGUGCCAGCAGCCGCGGUAAUACGUAGGUGGCAAGCGUUGUCCGGAUUUAUUGGGCGUUA
rnacentral:rRNA from 1 species